rnacentral:rRNA from 1 species
AACCAGCUCUUCAAGUGGUCGGGAUAAUUAUUGGGCUUAAAGUGUCCGUAGCCGGUUUAGUAAGUUCCUGGUAAAAUCGGGUAGCUUAACUAUCUAUAUGCUAGGAAUACUGCUAUACUAGAGGGCGGUAGAGGUCUGAGGUACUACAGGGGUAGGGGUGAAAUCUUAUAAUCCUUGUAGGACCACCAGUGGCGAAGGCGUCAGACUGGAACGCGCCUGACGGUGAGGGACGAAAGCCAGGGGAGCGAACCGGAUUAGAUACCCGGGUAGUCCUGGCUGUAAACGAUGCAUACUAGGUGAUGGCACGGCCAUGAGCCGUGUCAGUGCCGUAGGGAAACUGUUAAGUGUGCCGCCUGGGAAGUACGGUCGCAAGGCUAAAACUUAAAGGAAUUGGCGGGGAGCACCACAAGGGGUGAAGCCUGCGGUUC